GUACCGCGGCUGCUGGCACGGAGUUAGCCGGUGCUUCCUCUGAUGGUACCGUCAAGGGUGGACGAUAUUAGCCCCCACCCAUUUCUUCCCAUCUGACAGAGCUUUACGACCCGAAGGCCUUCCUCACUCACGCGGCGUUGCUGCGUCAGGGUUUCCCCCAUUGCGCAAGAUUCCUCACUGCUGCCUCCCGUAGGAGUCUGGACCGUGUCUCAGUUCCAGUGUGGCUGGCCAUCCUCUCAGACCAGCUAACCAUCGUUGCCUUGGUAGGCCAUUACCCUGCCAACUAGCUAAUGGUACGCGGGCUCAUCCUCCGGCGAAAGCUUGUAAACAGAGGCCUUCUUUGAAAGGCACUCCGCAGAGCGUCAGUGUUAUCGGGUAUUAGCCCGCCUUUCGGCGGGUUAUUCCUGACCGGGGGGCAGAUUACCCACGCGUUACUCACCCGUGCGCCACUGUACUCAUCGGCCGAAGCCGACUUUCUCGUACGACUUGCAUGUGUUAGGCACGCCGCCAGCGUUUGUUCUGAGCCAGGAUCAAACUC
rnacentral:rRNA from 1 species